rnacentral:lncRNA from 1 species
UGGAUUCUAAAUCUUCUGGCUGGGGAAUGUAGACAUUGGCUUAUGGUUGAUGGUGUAGACUGGUGAGAAUUCAAAUUUUUCUAAACUCAUGGUAAGCAUAUUGUAAAAUACAUAUGUACUAGGAAUUUUCAAAAUUGGUUUGUUUGGUGUGGAGUAUAUUCAACAGUAUUUUUGACAUUUUUCUUUAGAAAAGGAAGAUCUAAAGGAAUUUCAUAAGUUUUGUUACAUAAAGGAUUGAAAUAUUGUGAAUUUGAAAGUGCACUGCUGUUGGCCUGAUUGGUAAACCAACACACUACAAUUGAUAUCAAAAGGUUUCUCCUGUAAUAUUUUAUCCCUGGACUUGUCAAGUGAAUUCUUUGCAUGUUCAAAAUGGAAACCAUUGAUUAGAACUACAUUCUUUUCUCCUUGUUUUAAUUUGAACCCCACCAUAUGGAUUUUUCCCUUAGGAAAAUCUCCUUUUUGGAGAUCAUGGUGUCACAGUGUUUGGUUCUUUCAUUUUUGUUUUUUAACACUUGUCUCCCUUUAUAUACAAAAGUACGAUAUGAAACCUUCAUUUAAUCUCUGCAGUUCAUCUCAUUUCAAAUGUUUAUGGAAGAAGCACUUCAUUGAAAGUACUGCUGUAAAUAUUCUGCCAUAGGAAUGCUUCUGUCGACAUUCUUUCUCAUUCCAGAAUUCGUCAUCACGCUGCACCGGCCUCGUCUUUGUUGGUAGGUGUCCCAUUUCUAUCUGCUACUCUUUAUUUCGUGGAGUCGAAUCAACACUUUGAAGGCGAGGCUGUGAUAAUGGAACCAGAAGGCUGUUUGAACUUUUGAAACCUUGUGUGGGAUUGAUGGUGGUGCCGAGGCAUGAAAAGCUAGUAUAAGCAAGAAAAGGAGAGAGAAUGUACAGAGACUUGGUGGUGCAUAAUGGAUAUUUUUCAACUUGGCAAGAUGUGUCUCUCAAUCCUGCGGCUUUGGUGAGAGAAUGUGCAGAGAGCAAUGAUCAUAAAUAAUGUACGAAUGUUCUUCACAUUCAAAGGACAUCCACAUCUGUCGGAAGACUUAAAAGUGACUUUGUCAACUGCUAAGGGAAUGAAAAAAAGACGUAUUUUCUUUAUCCUAGAUGAUAUGUAUUUCCCCAUGUUCCUUUACACCCAUUGGCUCCACUAUAAUGCUAGGUAAGAAAAUGACUCUUUAUUUUUAUUUUAUUUCUAUUAAUUAAUUAAUUAAUUAGGCUUUU